GGGGCGGGGCCAAGAGAGCACUGCCCCCCCCGGCUGAGGCCGCCGAGAGCUCCAAGAAACGAGUCCAGGACCCCGACGAGGAAAUCUUCUACCUGCCCGUGCGGGGCCGGCAGCGCUUCGAGAUGUUCCGGAUGGUCAACGAGGCCCUGGAGGCCACGUUCGGGGGG